CACGAAGGGGGCUAGCGUUGCUCGGAAUCACUGGGCGUAAAGCGCACGUAGGCGGUCUUUUAAGUCAGGGGUGAAAUCCUGGAGCUCAACUCCAGAACUGCCUUUGAUACUGAGAGACUUGAGUCCGGGAGAGGUGAGUGGAACUGCGAGUGUAGAGGUGAAAUUCGUAGAUAUUCGCAAGAACACCAGUGGCGAAGGCGGCUCACUGGCCCGGUACUGACGCUGAGGUGCGAAAGCGUGGGGAGCAAACAGG
rnacentral:rRNA from 1 species